AACUGAUGCACAUGGCGGUCUCCUCCCAGUGCCGCCGCAACAGCUGUUCCCCUCUGGAGGUUUUUGACCUUCACACUUCAUGGGCCUCGGUUCUUCCGACGGCCCAUUUUU
rnacentral:sRNA from 23 species